ensembl:snRNA U2 U2 spliceosomal RNA
AUCACUUCUCGGCCUUUUGGCUAAGAUCAAGUGUAGUAUCUUCUUAUCAGUUUAACAUCUGAUACGUCCUCUAUCUGAGAACAUUAUAUUAAAUGUAUUUUUGGAAUAAGGAGAUGGAAUAGGAGCUUGCUCCGUCUACUCCACGCAUCGACCCGGUAUUGCAGUACCUCUGGGAACGGUGCACCAAGG